UGUCGGUCCCCUCGCGACGCAAAGUUGUGAACCCCGUCAGGUCCGGAAGGAAGCAGCGGCAGCAAUGGAGGCGGGUGCCGGGGUGUGGCUGGUGCUG
rnacentral:SRP_RNA from 1 species